rnacentral:rRNA from 1 species
GGAAGCAAUUCCUGUAAAGCGGCGCACGGGUGAGUAACACGUAGGUAAUCUACCUCGAAGUGGUGGAUAACCUCCGAAAGGAGGGCUAAUACAGCAUGAGACCACGGUUUCGAAAGAGAUUGAGGUCAAAGCGGGCCACUAUACAUAAGCUCGCGCUUCGAGAUGAGCCUGCGGCCCAUCAUGGUAGUGGUAGGGUAAUGGCCUACCAAGCCGAAGACGGGUAGCUGGUCUGAGAGGAUGAUCAGCCACACUGGAACUGAGACACGGUCCAGACUCCUACGGGAGGCAGCAGUGGGGAAUCUUGCGCAAUGGGCGAAAGCCUGACGCAGCGACGCCGCGUGAGUGAUGAAGGCCUUCGGGUUGUAAAGCUCUGUGGAGGGGGACGAAUAAGGGUUGGCUAACAUCCAGCUCGAUGACGGUACCCCUUUAGCAAGCACCGGCUAACUCUGUG